rnacentral:tRNA from 1 species
GGGUCCGUAGCGUAGUCAGGAUAUCGCAGCGGUCUUCGGAACCGCAGAUCGAGGGAUCGAAGCCCUCCGGAUCCG